UUAUUGAGAGAAACUACCGCCCUCAUACAUCCCCAGCGCAAAACGCGCGCGGAGCGCGCCAAAAGCACGUGCCGUGGAGAUGCUUCGCUAGAUCGAAUUGUGCGUGAUAUUGGAAAGGUCAAUCGGGAUAUUCGGGAUUCUCGCCGGAGCACCUUGAAUGUUCAGUCAUCAGUUUGCAUUAAUAUUAUUGAAAGUGCUGUAACUGUCCAAGAAUUCACAACCAAGUUUAAUAUUCAGAAAGGGUAGCAAGAGAAUUAAGUUUUAAGAAUGAAAAAAUAUGUUUUACCAUCUGAGUUGGAACGAAGAAAAAAAGUUAAAGAGAUGCGAAGAAAUCUUUCGAUACUGUGUGAUACAGAGGAUGACGAUUCUUCCGAAGAGCCAUUUAUCAUUGCUAAAGCAAUACAAACAAAUGCUUGUAUGAAUCAUGAUGCAUACAAAAACGAUAAGAAAUUGACAAUGUCUUGCAGAGUUCAGUUAAUACAAUUAAGUGGGGAAAUUCUUAAACGCUAUUCGCACGUGUUAAAAAAAAUCAAGAAGUCAAGAAUAUCUGGAACAUAAGGAAUUCAAAAGGUGAUCCCUACUACAAGGAGCACGAGUGCAAAGCGUUAAAGCAGGAUGGCAUAUCUAUCUGUUCAAUCAAUUGAUAACAGUAAAAUUUAGGAAAAAUAAACUUUGUACACAAUACAAUAUUUUAUACAAAUUAUUUUUCGUGAUAUUCACUGCGUUGUUUCUUUCAAUAUAUAUAUAAUUGUAUAGACAAAUUGAGGCUGUUACAAUUAAAUCAGCGGUUUCUGGUACAU
rnacentral:lncRNA from 13 species